rnacentral:rRNA from 1 species
CACGUAGUUAGCCGUCCCUUUCUGGUAAGAUACCGUCACAGUGUGAACUUUCCACUCUCACACUCGUUCUUUUCUUACAACAGAGCUUUACGAUCCGAAAACCUUCUUCACUCACGCGGCGUUGCUCGGUCAGACUUCCGUCCAUUGCCGAAGAUUCCCUACUGCUGCCUCCCGUAGGAGUCUGGGCCGUGUCUCAGUCCCAGUGUGGCCGAUCACCCUCUCAGGUCGGCUAUGUAUCGUCGCCUUGGUGAGCCGUUACCCCACCAACUAGCUAAUACAACGCAGGUCCAUCUGGUAGUGGUGCAAUUGCACCUUUCAAACAGUUAUCAUGCAAUAACUGCUAUUAUGCGGUAUUAGCUAUCGUUUCCAAUUAGUUACUCCCCCGCUACCAGGCUAGGUUACCUACGUCGUUACUCACCCGUUGCAACUCAUCCAGAGAAGCAAGCCUCCUCCUUCAGUCGUUCUACUUGCUAUGUAUUAGGCACCGCCGCCAGCGUUCGU